rnacentral:misc_RNA from 1 species
AAGUCGUAACAAGGUUUCCGUAGGUGAACCUGCGGAAGGAUCAUUAACACGUAUCCAACGUUAAAACCCCCCGUGAACCUUUAUUGUGGCACGCCUAUCCGUUAGAAAGUGGCAAUCCCUGGUAAAUCAUCGCCGAACAGUUUUGAUUCAGGGACUUCUGCGUGGGUAGGACAACUGCGCGAGCAAGUGGCCUGGCAUCCCUCUGCUUGUUAGUGUCUGAAAGUGUCACUAGCUCGGCGCAAUCACGAUCGCUAGAGGCCAACACGGCCGGCGACCGGGUCAAUGGGCCCUCGGCCCCCUAAUCACCUUUAUGCAUGAAAACGGUAACAAUGGAUAUCUUGGUUCUC